GGGUUGUGAGGUUAAGCGACUAAGCGUACACGGUGGAUGCCCUGGCAGUCAGAGGCGAUGAAGGACGUGCUAAUCUGCGAUAAGCGUCGGUAAGGUGAUAUGAACCGUUAUAACCGGCGAUUUCCGAAUGGGGAAACCCAGUGUGUUUCGACACACUAUCAUUAACUGAAUCCAUAGGUUAAUGAGGCGAACCGGGGGAACUGAAACAUCUAAGUACCCCGAGGAAAAGAAAUCAACCGAGAUUCCCCCAGUAGCGGCGAGCGAACGGGGAGCAGCCCAGAGCCUGAAUCAGUAUGUGUGUUAGUGGAAGCGUCUGGAAAGGCGCGCGAUACAGGGUGACAGCCCCGUACACAAAAAUGCACAUAUUGUGAGCUCGAUGAGUAGGGCGGGACACGUGGUAUCCUGUCUGAAUAUGGGGGACCAUCCUCCAAGGCUAAAUACUCCUGACUGACCGAUAGUGAACCAGUACCGUGAGGGAAAGGCGAAAAGAACCCCGGCGAGGGGAGUGAAAAAGAACCUGAAACCGUGUACGUACAAGCAGUGGGAGCACGCUUCGGCGUGUGACUGCGUACCUUUUGUAUAAUGGGUCAGCGACUUAUAUUCUGUAGCAAGGUUAACCGAAUAGGGGAGCCGAAGGGAAACCGAGUCUUAACUGGGCGUUAAGUUGCAGGGUAUAGACCCGAAACCCGGUGAUCUAGCCAUGGGCAGGUUGAAGGUUGGGUAACACUAACUGGAGGACCGAACCGACUAAUGUUGAAAAAUUAGCGGAUGACUUGUGGCUGGGGGUGAAAGGCCAAUCAAACCGGGAGAUAGCUGGUUCUCCCCGAAAGCUAUUUAGGUAGCGCCUCGUGAAUUCAUCUCCGGGGGUAGAGCACUGUUUCGGCAAGGGGGUCAUCCCGACUUACCAACCCGAUGCAAACUGCGAAUACCGGAGAAUGUUAUCACGGGAGACACACGGCGGGUGCUAACGUCCGUCGUGAAGAGGGAAACAACCCAGACCGCCAGCUAAGGUCCCAAAGUCAUGGUUAAGUGGGAAACGAUGUGGGAAGGCCCAGACAGCCAGGAUGUUGGCUUAGAAGCAGCCAUCAUUUAAAGAAAGCGUAAUAGCUCACUGGUCGAGUCGGCCUGCGCGGAAGAUGUAACGGGGCUAAACCAUGCACCGAAGCUGCGGCAGCGACGCUUAUGCGUUGUUGGGUAGGGGAGCGUUCUGUAAGCCUGUGAAGGUGUGCUGUGAGGCAUGCUGGAGGUAUCAGAAGUGCGAAUGCUGACAUAAGUAACGAUAAAGCGGGUGAAAAGCCCGCUCGCCGGAAGACCAAGGGUUCCUGUCCAACGUUAAUCGGGGCAGGGUGAGUCGACCCCUAAGGCGAGGCCGAAAGGCGUAGUCGAUGGGAAACAGGUUAAUAUUCCUGUACUUGGUGUUACUGCGAAGGGGGGACGGAGAAGGCUAUGUUGGCCGGGCGACGGUUGUCCCGGUUUAAGCGUGUAGGCUGGUUUUCCAGGCAAAUCCGGAAAAUCAAGGCUGAGGCGUGAUGACGAGGCACUACGGUGCUGAAGCAACAAAUGCCCUGCUUCCAGGAAAGCCUCUAAGCAUCAGGUAACAUCAAAUCGUACCCCAAACCGACACAGGUGGUCAGGUAGAGAAUACCAAGGCGCUUUGAGAGAACUCGGGUGAAGGAACUAGGCAAAAUGGUGCCGUAACUUCGGGAGAAGGCCGCUGAUAUGUAGGUGAAGCGACUUGCUCGUGGAGCUGAAAUCAGUCGAAGAUACCAGCUGGCUGCAACUGUUUUAUUAAAAACACAGCACUGUGCAAAC
rnacentral:rRNA from 1 species